GUGAAGAACGUAGCGAAAUGCGAUAAGUAAUGUGAAUUGCAGAAUUCAGUGAAUCAUCGAAUCUUUGAACGCACAUUGCGCCCGCCAGUAUUCUGGCGGGCAUGCCUGUUCGAGCGUCAUUACAACCCUCAGGCCCCCGGGCCUGGCGUUGGGGAUCGGCGGAGCCCCCCGUGGGCACACGCCGUCCCCCAAAUGCAGUGGCGGUCCCGCCGCAGCUUCCAUCGCGUAGUAGCUAACACCUCGCGACUGGAGAGCGGCGCGGCCACGCCGUAAAACACCCAACUCUUCUGAAGUUGACCUCGAAUCAGGUAGGAAUACCCGCUGAACUUAAGCAUAUCAAUAAGCGGAGGA
rnacentral:misc_RNA from 1 species